rnacentral:tRNA from 1 species
GAGGCUGUGGCUCAAUAGUAGAGCAUCUGCUUGGCUUGCAGAAUGUCCCAGGUUCAAGCCCCAGCAUCUUCG